rnacentral:lncRNA from 1 species
AUUACUUUGUCAAAUUAAAUGCAAAUUUUUACACUGUGCCAUCAGAUUAUUUCUGUAACAAAGAUUUGGUCUCUCCUCUAGCUCUACAUACACAGAACCUUCUUUCUGUUUCCUGGGACUACUAUUAGGUUUAUGAAAAAUCUGAAUUUCAUCAUUAGGUUUGAUACAUUAGUGCUUUAUUGGGAAGAUUUCACUGCAGAAUAAAGAACCUGCCCAUCCUCCCUUACUUUCUGGACAUAACAGGAAAGUGGAAGCUACCCUCUCAGGAGUCUAUUCUUCAUUUUGCUGAUAAUGUUUGGGUGUUAGGGAGAUACCUACUUGGAUCUAUUCUUUUCUGCUAAAAAAAAUGAGGCAUUGUCAGGGGAGGUGCUGGAACAAAGUGAGAGAAAAGAAACAGGACACCAGACUUGGAUAACAAUGCUCUACAGCCAAAAUGCUUCUGAAAUAAAUGUGGUCCAACUUUACUAAUUCUGGGUCA